rnacentral:rRNA from 1 species
AUUGAACGCUGGCGGCAGGCCUAACACAUGCAAGUCGAGCGGAUGAAUGGAGCUUGCUCCUGUAUUCAGCGGCGGACGGGUGAGUAAUGCCUAGGAAUCUGCCUGGUAGUGGGGGAUAACGUCCGGAAACGGGCGCUAAUACCGCGUCCGUCCUGAGGGCGAAAGUGGGGGAUCUUCGGACCUCACGCGAUCUGAUGAGCCUAGUUCGGAUUAGCUAGUUGUUGGGGUAAAGUCCUACCAAGGCGCCUAUCCGUAACGGGUCUGAGAGGAUGAUCAGUCACACUGGAACUGAGACACGGCCCAGACUCUUACGGGAGGCAGCGGUGGGGAAUAUCGGACAAUGGGCGAAAGCCGGCGCCAGACAUGCCGCGGGGGUGAAGAAGGGCUUCGGAUUGUAAAGCACUUUAAGUUGGGAGGAAGGGCAGUAAGUUAAUACCUUGCUGUUUUGACGUACCAACAGAAUAAGCACCGGCUAACUACGUG